rnacentral:lncRNA from 1 species
AUACAUGCGCCUGCUCAUCAGCUUGCAACUGCAAUCAAUUCAGAUCGAAAUGUUCUGCCUACUGCUAUCAAAAAUAUUCUCGGUCAAACUUAUAUUUUUCAAGUCCUAGCUGAUUCUCGAAAACUUAAUAUUGGUGUGCCAUCAUUUAAAGUUGCAAAAAUUUUUGCACAUGAUUUGGAUACGAAAGGAAAAGGUAAACAGGUCAGCACAAAUACUGAAAUAAUUGAAGAAGUGACCGACACAACUGCAAUUGCUACUGAAUCUCAUUAUGGAUU